CCCUUAGAUGUUCUGGGCCGCACGCGCGCUACACAGAUGUAUUCAACGAGUCUAUAGCCUUGGCCGACAGGCCCGGGUAAUCUUCGAAAAUUUCAUCGUGAUGGGGAUAGAUCAUUGCAAUUGUUGGUCUUCAACGAGGAAUUCCUAGUAAGCGCGAGUCAUCAGCUCGCAUUGAUUACGUCCCUGCCCUUUGUACACACCGCCCGUCGCUCCUACCGAUUGGGUGAGCCGAUGAAACUCUCGGAUGUAGGCUAUUCAUAGCCCGCAGAAGAGAUUUGAAUCGUAGCGCUUAGAGGAAGGAGAAGUCGUAACA
rnacentral:rRNA from 1 species